AUUGAACGCUGGCGGCACGCCUAACACAUGCAAGUCGAGCGGCAGCGCGAUAUGUAGCAAUACAUAUUGGCGGCGAGCGGCGGACGGGUGAGGAACACGUAGGAACCUACCCUCGAGUGGGGGAUAACCAAGGGAAACUUUGGCUAAUACCGCAUGAACUCGAGAGAGCAAAGCUGCCGCAAGGUGGCGCUCGAGGAGGGGCCUGCGUCCGAUUAGCUAGUUGGUGAGGUAAGAGCUCACCAAGGCGAUGAUCGGUAACUGGUCUGAGAGGACGACCAGUCGCACUGGGAAUGAGACACGGCCCAGACUCCGACGGGAGGCAGCAGUGGGAAUAUUGGACAAUGGGGGCAACCCUGAUCCAGCGAUGCCGCGUGAGUGAAGAAGGCCUUCGGGUCGUAAAGCUCUUUAGGUUGGGAAGAAGGGUGAUGGAGGAAAUGCUAUCACUUUGACGGUACCGACAGAAUAAGCACCGGCAAACUCUGUGCCAGCCGCCGCGGUAACAC
rnacentral:rRNA from 1 species